AUAUGCCUACGGGGGGCAGCAGUGAGGAAUAUUGGUCAAUGGGCGCAAGCCUGAACCAGCCAAGUCGCGUGAGGGAUGACGGUCCUAUGGAUUGUAAACCUCUUUUGCCGGGGAGCAAGGCCCGCCACGUGUGGCGGGAAGGAGAGUACCCGAAGAAAAAGCAUCGGCUAACUCCGUGCCAGCAGCCGCGGGAAUACGGAGGAUUCGAGCGUUAUCCGGAUUUAUUGGGUUUAAAGGGUGCGUAGGCGGAAGGUUAAGUCAGC
rnacentral:rRNA from 1 species